rnacentral:lncRNA from 1 species
UUUUUUUUUUUUUUUUUUUUUUGGUCAUUUUUGGGCCACCCCUGGGGCAUAUGGAGGUUCCCAGGCUGGGGGGCUGAUUGGAGCCACAGCUGCCGGCCUACACCACAGCCAUAGCAGUGCCAGACCCAAGCUGCGUCUUUGACCUACACCACAGUUCACAGCAGUGCCAGAUCCUUAACCCACAGAGCGAGGCAAGGGAUUGAACCUGCAACUUCAUGGUUCCUAGUCGGAUUCAUUUCCGCUGCGCCACGACAGGAACUCCCUGAACUGUAUUUUUUUAAAAAGCAGCCCCUAAAAUUUAAGUUUUCAGUAUAAGUGUUGCUGCCUCUCACUCCUUAAAAAUUGUCAUAGUGGGUUGAAGUAGCUGAUUUAAGUUUAUUGAAGUCACAGGGGUUCACAGGUCCAUCGCCUUCUCUGUGUAUUAUCAAAAAGGAAAAGGAAAUGUCAGAUGGCCUUUCUGACUUUCUAGUGCUUGCCGCCUUAUUUAUGAGGCUCCCUAGGAUNNNNNNNNNNNGGUUAAGGACCUGGCAUUGUCACUGGUGGCGCAGGUUCAGUCCCCAAUCUGGUGCAGUUGGUUAAGGAUCCAGCGUUGCCGCACCUGUGGUGUGGCUCACUGCUGCGGCUUGGGUUUGAUCCCUGGCGGGAGAACUUCCCUAAGGGUCUCCUAGCCCUGGCCAGUUGCUGGUGUGUGUUCAAAGGAAAAAGAUGAUUUUACUUCAGCAUUAGCUGUGAUGUCCAGUGCGCAUGCUUAUUAGAACUAAGAGCCACUGAGGAAGGUGAACAGGAAAAAGCCAAAUGAAAAGAGCUCUCAUAAUAAUUACCAUAAUAAUUAAUACCUGGCGGCAAUCAUCGCUCAGGGUACAAAGCAUCCUGGCAGCCCCACCUGCUGCUCUGGCUUUGGGUACACCCCAGCCCCUACCUCUGCUCUCAGGGCCGCGUGCUUCUGGUGGCACCACGUCAAAAGCAGCUCCAUGGCAGGGUUGUGCUUGCACUCCAGGGCGAGGACACUAAUUUUCUAAAGUUUCGACCUUGUUGCUUUUGUGAAACUUUUUAUCAGCCCCGGGGAUCCAUCUGCUCCCACAGAACCCCACUGGCUGCAGUUGUUGCCCCAAUCUUUCUGUCUCAGGGCCGAGCAGACAAUUUUCAGUCACUGAACCAGCGUUAAACUCCUACGAAAAAUUGAUUUGGAGCUCAUUCGAAAUCCGCCUUGGCUUUUCUCUGCCCCGGAGUGUGAGCACUGAGAUCGAUUUCUCCGCAUUAGCCGCAAAAUGAUCUUUGUGUCGGUCUGGGGCUUCGGUGGUCCGUGACGCGGGCCUCUGCGCAUGCCCAGCACCCGGGGCGCGCCUGCAUCUCAGGUCCGCCGGGUCGAGCCGACGGCAGCCAGAGGAUGUGCCUCGGUGGCCUCGCCGGGGCAGGUGUCUGCUGACCGGCUUCCCCCCCCCCGCCCCCCACAAGUUGAUUUUCUCUCUCUUGGUCCUCGGAGCGGCCAUUCCUUUCAAAAUGACUUUUGGCUUUCUGAUGAAAAGUCUUAUUUUAAAAAUGUUUGACAAAUAGGGAUUUCUCAUCAUGUUGGCGUUCAGUUGAACUUACUUGAAAACAGAGAAAACUGAAAAUGGCCAUUUUGAAAAAUGAAUCAAUGCGGUAGGGGUAACAACACAACAGUGUGAAUCUCCUUGAUGCCGCUGAACUGCAGACCUAAAACCAGUUAAGGUGGUAAGUUUCAUGGGUAUUUACCACAAGAAAAAUAUUUUUCUACUUAAAAAUGUGCAGGUAGUUCCCUUUGUAGCUCAGCGGUAACAAACCCGACUAGGAUCCAUGAGGAUGUGGGUUCGAUCCCUGGCCUCACUCAGUGGGUUAAGGAUCCGAUGCCGCCAUGAGCUGCGGUGUAGGUUGCAGACAUGGCUCGGAUCCCGCCCGUGUGGCUGUGCCGUAGGCUGGCAGCUGUUAACUCCGAUUCGACAACUAGCCUGGGAACGUCCAUAUGCCUUCAGUGGGGCCCUAAAAAAAAAAGAAAAAAAUGUGUAAAUACUUGGUUCCUUCCAUGAAAUUAUGACAAAGUUAGAAUAAUACAGUUUGUAAAAUUCCUUGGUAUCUUUGUAAACUUCUGUUCCAUACAACUAUUUUUUAUUUGAUGUGGUAACCGAAUCUUAAUUACGUUUCUAUAGAUUUGCUGAAGCAAAAUAGAAAUAGGAACAAAAGUGGGUUCAAAAUCUAGCGGACGGGAGUUCCCAUUGUGGCUCAGUAGGUUGAGAACUCAACGUAGUGUCUGAGGAUGCAGGUUUGUUCCCUGGCCUCUCAGUGGUUAAGGAUCUGGUGUUGCCGAAAGCUGUGACAUAGGUUGCAGAUGUGGCUUGGAUCUGGUGUUGCUGUGGCGUAGACCCCAGUUGCCGCUAUGAUUUGACCCCUAGCCUGGAAACUUCCAUAUGCUGCAGGUGCAGCCCUAAAAAGAAAAAGAUAAAAAAAAAAAAAAAAACCCAAAACCAACCAAAGGACAUCUCAGAAAAUGAAUAUAAAUAUAGCCUUAUGGUUGCUAUUUCUGAUUCUUUUCAUAUUACUAAAGCACAGUUAACGGGUGACGGCUAUAUUCCUACAUCCAAAAUAUUAGCAAUUGGUAUCUGAAACCUGGAAGGAAAAGUUUCAUGCCUGGAGCAUUUGAGUUGCAGAGACACUAUACUUUUUGGGUAACUUCAGUAACGUCUACUCUCUUAGCAUAUUCUUUACAACCAUGGAAUCAGGGGGCCUUUUGCAUCCAUUUUUUCGUUCAAUUUCCAUUUUGUUUGUAGUUAAUGAAGCCUGUAGGAGUCCCUAUAGGGGACAUGCUCAUCAAUUUAGGUAGAUAACAGGCACAUCUUCCGGUGACAUUGGAUUUGUUCUAUGCUUUCUCUUCCUUAGAAAGGCUGAACUCCCAGUCCUUCCAAAAAAAGGAUUACCCUCUUGGCGAGCCACAUUUACGUCUCUUUCGCCUGUUUUUUCAACCCUGCUUUUCUUUCUUUUUCCUUUUUAAAAUGUGAUCUGGGACUGCUUCUUGGAGUUUUUCUCCUUACAGAGAAGUACCUUUUAGGCGCCACAUCUUCUAUUUUUGAUGACAUGCGACGGCUCCCAUCAAGAGAGUGGGCAGAACGUGCCGGGCAUAGCUGCUAGACCUUUAGCAGCUUUUUUCAGACCGAAAGGCCAUGUCAGCUCUCAUUCCUGCCUCCUCUCCCCACUGCUCUUCUCUAUUCAUCAUCUCAGUCAAGAAUCUACCUUUCAGCAGCCUCACUCCUCCGCCUCGUCCCACCCUCUGGGUCUGUCUGCCACAUCCAUUUGCUUGCCCUCCCCGAUAUGUCACAGAGCAUGAAACCAUCUGGAAGUGUGUUAUAGAAUAUAAAAGAAAAUAGGAAUAGUCCAAGAAGUGCGUUUUUUUUUUUUAAAUGCUGCUGUAUCAUAUCUUUGUGAUAUACUCUGCAAAUUACUUUUUAAAAAAUCUGUUGUAUGUAUUUUCUUGCCACUUAAGUUACUCAUUUUAAAGUGUAUUGACGAGGCGCUCCCACUGUGGUGCAGUGGGUUAAGGAUCUGGUGUUGCCACAGCUGUGGAGUAGGUGACAGCCGUGGCUCAGAUUCCAUCCCUGGCCCGGAACUUCAGUAUGCCACAGGUGUAGCAAAAAAGGGUAUUGAAGAGAGUGAACUCGUGGCUGAGGGAUGUAGCACGACUGUGUUUUGAAGAACUGAAGACUCUAGCAGGCUUAUCCCAGCUCAGUUUCAUGUGUUCAUUAAAAGAUUUUUUGGGAAUUCCCUGGUGGCUCAGCAGGUUAAGGACCGGGUGUUGUCACUGCUGUGUCAGGCACUUGAUCCCUGGCCCAGGAACUUCCGUAUUCUACAGGGACAGCCAGAAAAAAUUUAAAAAAAGAGAGCUUUUCGUUGUUGUUUGGUCGCCUUAACAGGAUGCAAACCAUUAUGAAUCAAACUUUUUGAAUAUGGGUCUGCCUGCACUCACCUACUUAGUUUGGAGAUUAAAUCCUUUAAUUUAAGAUUUUGCAUUAGGAUAAUUUUACCAUCUUCCACAGAUGUCUGAUUUUACCAGUAAAAGUUAGAUGAUACUUUUUUUUCACUUCUUAAUUUUUUUCUUUUUAGGGCUGCACCUGCAGCAUAUGGAAGUUCCCAGGCUAGGGGUCAAAUCAGAGCUAUAGCUGCCAGCCUACACCACAGCCACAGCAACACCAAAUCCAAGCAGCUUCUUCGAUCUAUACCCCAGCUCACAACAACGCUGGAUCCCCAACCUACUGAGCAACACUGGAGAUCGAACCCGCAUCCUCGUGGACACUAGCUGGAUUCAUUUCUGCUGUGCCACAAUGGGAACUCCCCAGAUGAUACUUUUGCAUCAUAACCAUAGAUGAGGCCUUGUACCCUUAUCUCUCCUGAUAACUAGGACUUCUAGAGACUUUAUACAUUUUCUUUUUUAUCCUUCAGGGAGGCUCUGUCAGCCAGGGGCCAGUUAGGAAGAGGAGUGAGCAUACUGGGUAUUUCACCCAAAAGAGACCUAGGGCAGAGAACUUGUUACGAUUCUGUUGGAAGGACCCAGAGGAUAAAGAGGAGAAGCUGGAGUAUUGCAGGGAUGAGUCACUGUGUGAAGCAGCUCCCUCCCAUGGACUGAGGGAAGGAAGGGGCAGAAGUGUGUUCCAGAGCCCACGUGUACUCACUGCUGUGCUUACUCCUGGGAUGGCAGCUCAGACUGCCGGGGCAGCGGGGAUGCGUCUCCUGGACUGGUGCUUCGACCAUAUACUGAUGUCACCAGUCCAGAGGAGGGCUGCCAUCCUGGUUCUGGGAUUGCCAAAGAGGGCAAGUACCUCUAGAAAAAGAGAUGUGUGAUGCCCGAAAUGAGGGAGAGAACUAAAGAGAAUUCCUUGGAUGAUAGCAAUGGGAAGACCCAGGAUGUCACUUGUGCAACAGAGUGAGGGAAGCACCGGUGCAGAAUAGAGCUGGAGGUUAGGGGAGAAAACAGAAGGUCGUCUUGCCUGCAUGAAGAACUGCACUGAGAGGCUAUUGGAGUGUGUGAGAUUUAGUAGGAGGGCGUCUAAGCCAUGGAGGAAAAAAAGGCGACCAUUAUCUCCAGGAAAACUAAAAGUCACGCCAAAAAGGAAACAUCAUUAUGAUGCAUUAUGAGUAUGUCCAUGGCCAUGAUAAUGUAGACAUUAGUUGUUAAUAUUAACCAGACUGUGUGAUUUAACUGUGAGGAAGAUGGGGGCGAGCGGGAACAGAUGGGGUGUAAAAAGGCUAAAUCCCCCUAUAAUGAAAGAGGAAAUGACUAUUUAUCUCAAACUGAUGGAAUUUAGAGAUUAUAGUAUAAGCAAGUCAUUUCACAGUGUGGAGGAUAAUGAUGGAGGAGGCAGAGAUGGCUGGUUUUAUUUUUAUUAUCAUCCUUAUUAUAAAUCUUUGUAGAAUUAUUUGAAAUUUUAUUUCUGCAUGAAUCAUUUUCAUCCAAUGUUUUCUGUAAUGUUGAGGUCUUUAGGAGUUCCCGUGGUGGCUCAGUGGUUAAUGAAUCUGACGAGGCAUGAGGUUGCGGGUUCGAUCCCUGGCCUCGCUCAGUGGGUUAAGGAUCUGGCGUUGCCAUGAGCUGUGGUGUAGGUCGCAGACACAGCUCGGAUCUGGUGUUGCUGUGGCUGUGGUGUAAGCCAGCAGCUGUAGCUCCGGUUAGACUCCUAGCCCGGGAACCUCCCUAUGCCGCAGGUAUGGCCCUAAAAAAGACAAAAAACAAAAGCAAAAAACAAAAGGAUCCCGUGUUGCCAUGAGCGGUGGUGUAGGUCGCAGAUGCAGCUCAGAUCUGGUGUUGCUGUGGCUGUGAUGCAGGCCAGCGGCUAUAGCUCCGCUUAGACCCCUAGCCUGGGAACCUCCAUAUGCAAAAAACAAAAGAAUUUGAGAUCUUUAGAUGUGUAGGUUCUGUUACAACCUGAGGCAUAAGCUUCUAAAUAGUAAACAAAAAAAGAAUCUAUUAAUUAAAAAUAGUACCGUUUAUUCAAUAAAAAGAAUUCAAGUAACUUUUAAAUAGAGUUCUUUGCCCUAAAUUGGAUAUAUUCCCUCGGUGAUGGAGUGGCAGAAAUCUCCAACUCUACUAAAUAGGUUUGUGGUCAGGAGUGACACGAGUAGAACAAUUCUAAGUCUUCUGCGUGUGUUAGGAGGAGGGAGUAAGCGUACUGAUAUUCUUAGGAACCAAGGAGGUAGAACAAAUGGGAAAAGGGAGAACAAACUUUAUGGCCUUAGAUUUCCAUUAGAAGUAUUACUGUAGGAGUUCCCAUUGUGGCUCAGCAGUUAAGAACCUGACUAGUGUCCAGGAAGAUCCAUGGCCUUGCUCACUGGGUUGAGUAUCAGGCAUUGCCGUGAGCUACAGCGUAGACUCGCAGCUGCAGCUCUGAUUCAGCCCCUAGCCCUGGAACUUCCGUAUGCCAUAGGUAUGGCCCUAUUUAAAAAAAAGAAUGUGUCUAUUUAUGUGUGAGUGGGUCACCUUGCUGUACAGUAGAUAAUUGACAGAACACUGUAAACAAACUAUGAUGAAAAAAAUUAAAAUCUUUUCAAAAAAGUAUCAUCGUAGACUCAUGAUUGAGAAAAUAAUAGAUCUCCUAUGUUUAAUGAUUGAAAGAACAGAAGCAAUGAUACUCCAGUAUUUGAGCACAGUUAGCACCCAGAUUUUAGGUGCUAAAUACUCUUCAUCACAAAAAGGAACCAAGGUUUCUUGCAGAAACAGCAAAUUCCAGGUCUGGGGCAGGGAAAUAGAAAACAAGUCUAGAACUUCCAGUGUCAGAAGUCAGGGAAGUGCAACCCGGGAAAAAAAAGAAAAA